CUUUUUUUUUUUUUUACAAAGUUAGGCAAUACUAUUAAUUAUAAUUUUUCUUAUGUGUCAUUCAAAUAACUAGGAUUCUUAUUUAAUCAGAAAAAUGUCAAUUCCAUCGUUUGCUACCUUAUAUUGGGAUGGAGAAAUUAUUAUUGAUGAUGAAGGCUGCGACUAUUGUGGGGGUUCAUCAACAGUCAUUACCAUUGGUAGACGCAUGGAUUUUGGUACUUUAGGUAUGAAAAUAGUACGUGCAAUUGAUCUUGAAGCUGGGUGUGAAUUUAUAUCGAAUAUCUUUUUCAGACAACCCAUUGAAGGAGAUGGUUCAGUGAAAUGGGACUGUAUGGGUUUGACUAACGAUGAUGAUGUAAAUAUUAUGUUUAAUUUUAUUGAUGAAAUUGGAGGUAUGUCAUCGAUAGAAUUAUAUAUUGAUAUUUUUCGACCGGAUGCAUCUAGAAAUGUUGUUGAUGAAGCGGGACCAUCAAAUGUUGGUACUACUGAUGAGGUAGUUGUUCGCUAUCAUUCGUCUGAACUUGAUAGUAGUACGUUUGAGGAUAAAGUUUUGGGGGUUAUCAAUGAAUCUGAAGAUAUUUGUGAACGUCGAUGGGUGUACGAAUCAAACGAAUCAUACUUUUCUGAUAGUCAUUAUUGCCCCAAUAAUGGUGUCGAUGAAGAGGAUUCUGAUGAACAAUGGAUUGAUAGUGAUGAGGCAGACUUCAAUCAGGAUGUUGAGCAUGAUAAUGAGGUAGUAGUCAACUUGCCUUCAUACUAUAACACUCAUGUUGCAAACCCAAUAAUGCCUAUUGUCCAUCCUCCACCUUACUGUGAAUUAGAUUUUUCAUUGCUAACAGUUGAUCCAUGGUCAAAACCGCAAUAUAGUUCAAUGUGGGAUCCAUCGAAUGAGUUUGAAGUUGGAAUGACAUUUCCGUCUAGAGAGGCUGUCCAAAGAGCUACCAAAGAAUAUCAUUUACUUAGGCACCAUGACUUUUCUUAUGAUGAGACAAAGAGCAAAACAUAUGCUAUAAGGUGCAAAUAUAGAAACAACAAUUGUAAGUGGAGAAUGCGUGCGUCUCGUCGGGAAGGAUCUGAUAUAUGGAAAAUUACUCGAUAUAACGGACCUCAUACAUGUGUUAAUCCAUCAAUCUCACAAGAUCAUAGGCAAUUGGAUAGCAAAUUUUUAUCUGAUUUCAUCCUAGCAAUUGUACGAGAACAGCCAAAUGUGAAGAUAUCUGCGUUACAAGCAGAAAUCAAAGAUAAGGUUGGAUAUAUGCCGAGUUAUCGGAAGAUGUGGAAGGCUAGACACGAUGCAGUUGUUAAGAUAUUUGGUGGUUGGGAGGAAUCUUUUACAAGAUUGCGUCAAUUCAUGCUUGCGUUGUGCAAACACAACCCCGAUUCUUCGUUCUUGAUUGAAGAUGACCCUCUGUUUGUUAAUAAUAAAUUAAAACCUGAGAAUCGGGUUUUCGAUAGGAUGUUUUGGGCAUUCAAACAAACAAUUGAAGGUUUCAAGCACUGUCGGCCAGUUAUUUUUAUAGACUCCACAUUUUUAUAUGGAAAGUACAAAGGGUGUUUAUUUUGUGCUAUGGGACUGGACGGCAAUAACCAUAUUUUUCCUAUUGCAUGGGCAAUAGUUGAUUGUGAAAAUACAAGGAACUGGGAUUGGUUCAUGUCUUGUUUACGGGUGUUUGUGACUGAUCGUUCUGAUAUUUGUGUUAUAUCAGACAGACAUAUUGCCAUUAAAAAAGCAAUGCAGCAAGAUUGGUGGCAGCCUCCUAAUGGACAUCAUCGAUACUGCUUAAGACACGUACUGAGCAAUUAUAACACGAAGUUUAAAAAUCCUGACAUGAAAGAAGCUCUCCGAAAGGCAGGUUAGUUUUUGCCAAAGAAUAUUAUUUUUGCAAGCAUUAAUUGCAUUUUCAAUGUUAUAUAAUACAAAAAAUGUCAAUUUUUUUUUUAACAGCUCACCAAAUUCAGAAAAAGAAAUUUUAUGAUGCCAUGGACACAAUCAAGAGCGGGCAUCCAGAUACAUUUGAAUGGGCCAGAAAUAUACCAUUGGAGAAAUGGACACGUUCUCAUGAUGGAGGAAAAAGGUAUGGCUCCAUGACAACCAAUACCGUUGAGUCAGUUAAUGGAAUGCUGAAGGGGAUUCGUGCACUACCAAUAACUACAAUGGUAGAGAAAAUAUUUUUCCAAUGUGUCCAAUACUUUGACACACGCCGCACGACCUUCCGCGAACAAUUGCAGUUGGGCUUCAACUUAACACCGGCAUGUCGUCAAAUUUUGAAUGAAAAUUUGAAUGAAGCAAACUCACUUAAUGUUCGAUUAUUUAAUUGCGAUUGUGGUGAAUUUGAAGUUUGGAAGGAUAGAACUGGGGACAACCACAUCGUCAAACUUUAUGAGAGGACAUGCACAUGCGAGAAGUUUCAAGAGAUACGUAUUCCAUGUUCUCAUGUCAUAGCAGCAUGCCAAUCAAUGUCAAUUAAUUAUGAGCAAUACGUUUCAAAUUAUUAUACAUUGGAACGAACGCUUAAGUGCUAUGAGUGGCAGUUUCAUGCACUUGGACAUCAUGAUGAUUGGCCAACAGACAAUGAUCCAAUCCUUGUACCUGACCCAAAUCGGAAAAGGUCUAAAGGAAGACCAACUUCUUUAAGGAAGAUGAAUGAAAUGGAUUGGAUGGUGAUUCAAAAGAGAGGGGAUCCGUCUAAAAUCCAUUGAAGGACACUAUUUUCAAAUACUUUGUAUUAUUAUCAUAAAUUGUUGGACAUAGUUUUCAUUAUUAUGUUUUCAUUUUAUGUGUAUUAUUACCCCCCUGUUGUUAGGUUACGUACUUUUCAAUUUUAUCUUAAAUUAUUGCAUUAUUUAAUAUAAUUACUGCAUUAUGAUUUAUGUCGUAUAUAUUUAUUUAACUGGAAUGUCACGAGCCGAAUGGCCAGAAGUUUGUGAGCUCUUGUUGGGAGCUAGACCACCUCCAGAAAUGAUUCGAGGACAUACAUUAAAAUUAUCAUGGCUAAUUGAUGAGUUUGGAGCUAUUCCACAUGAAGCUGAUGAUUUAACAGUGUUAUGGCAUGCAAGAGCAUUCAUAUUACGACUCAUCGGUUCGAUAUUUCCCGACAAGACAAACUCACGUGUGAACUUGAUGUUCCUACCCCUAUUAGAAGACUUAAGGCAAGCUGCGACAUACAGUUGGGGUGGAGCUUGCUUAGCCUUCCUUUAUCAUGAGCUUUGUCGUGUUGCAGUUACUGAAGCAAAGGAGAUUUCAGGACCCCUGUUCAUAUUGCAAAUCUGGGCUUGGGAGAGAUUUAAAAUAAUCUCUCCAUCAAUAAGAGAUCCAUCGGCACCUCAUGAUGCACCCCUAGGUGCUAGGUGGAGUAGAGCUCGACAGAUCACUGAAGUUACAACCCAUGUACUACAACAAAUUCGAUACAAUCUUGAUCGAAUGCGACCUGAAGAUAUUACAUGGGAACCAUAUAAUGAGGAAUUGUUGGAUAAGCUGCCCGACAUGUGCAAACAGGGUCGUCCCAUAUGGAAGGCAGUGGUGCCAUUAAUUUGCUUCCAUAUUAUUGAAUGGCACCAGCCUGAUAGAGUGAUGAGGCAGUUUGGUUUGGCUCAACCUAUUCCACGACGAUCGAUGCAAACAGAUGAGUUACAUGAGAUUACUCUCCGAUUUAGUGAGAGUAAUUGGGCGCACCACCAUGCGACGUACAUUAAUCGUUGGAAUAGGCGAGAACAUUACAUUGUUCAAGGGCAAGAAAUGGCACAACCACUCCACCAUCAUUCUGAAUAUAUGGAGUGGUAUCGUCGAGUUGCAAGACGUUGGAUCUCAAUAAGUGGAGCUGCCAUUGGUUGUGUGGAGGAUGCAAUUGAGGAUUGUUUGCUAAAAUUACAGAACCCAUCAAUAGAAAAUGUGGCUGAAGUUAAACGUACAUUAAGAAAAAUGAUGAUUGCUCUAGAGGAAGAAAGUCGGCUUUGCCAAAUGCCACCUCCUCAAUCCGCACCUCAAGCAACAACCUUUAAUGAUGAAUUAGAAGAGGACCAACCCAUCAACCAGCCUGAGCCCUCACAAAGAGCAGCACGACGCCGAUCACGUCCUACUCGAAGUCGUCAACAUCCAGUGCGUCCAGCCUCUCCUCCCAAUGAUGCUUUGCCCCCACCUGUCGCAUUCCACCCUUACUGCAUCACAUCAGCGCCUGAUCAUUCUGAUCCUAUUCCCUCGGCUCCUGCACUAUCUGACCCUGCUCAUUACACUGGUUGGAUGGCUACCCCAUCAAUGCCUGGCCCAUCAGCACCAUGGAUGUCAUAUCAAACUCAAAUGCAAAACAGAAGCACAUUCGACUUUACUGAGAGUCAACAGCCGCAAACACCAUUCGGCGGCUUAUUUGCUCCAUUUGGCAGACCCUCAAGCAUUGGGCCAUCACAGAAUACGUCAGGUCAAUUUAGUGGAUAUGGGUCAGAACAAUACUUUGCACCAUAUCAUUCUGGUGCCUUAGGCCAUAUUCCAUCUGCUGCGGGUCUAUUUGGAUACCAUGAACAAAGUGCUGUGCAUUAUACUGCAGGGGGGGAAUCAUCGGGACAACAUCAAGGGCAAGCUAGCCAACCCAAAGAUGCACAAGGUCAUCCAGCAGAACAUCAAGAAGGGGGAGAACAUCGAGUUCUUCGACCGAGACGACAUAUACGAAGACCUGGUUGUGGCACAUGAUUGAUUUAAAUAUUUGUUAUCAUUUAUAUAUUAAUUAUGAAAACUUCUCUCAAGUUAUUUAUCGCUUUAAGUCAAUUGCUACAAUAUAUUAGUGACAAUUUUUAUAUUUUUUGCACAAUUAAAUUUCCUACAAAUUUUUAAUAACUUAAUUUGAC
rnacentral:misc_RNA from 1 species